GCUCAAGUGUCCGAGUGGUUAAGGAGACAGACUUGAAUCUCUUCGUUCAAUGGCAUCUGUUACGCUUUGCGUGCGCAGGUUCAAAUCCUGUCUUGAGCG
rnacentral:tRNA from 1 species